GAUGAACGCUGGCGGCGUGCCUAAUACAUGCAAGUCGAGCGGUAAGGCCUCUUCGGAGGUACACGAGCGGCGGACGGCUGAGUAACGCGUAGGAACAUACCCCAAAGUGAGGGAUAACUGCUCGAAAGAGUAGCUAAUACCGCAUGUGAUCUAAGGAUUAAAGCUUCGGCGCUUUGGGAAUGGCCUGCGUAUGAUUAGUUUGUUGGUGAGGUAAUGGCUCACCAAAGACUACGAUCAUUAGCUGGUCUGAGAGGAUGAUCAGCCAGACUGGGACUGAGACACGG
rnacentral:rRNA from 1 species